UCAGGGCUAUUGCCUGUUGUAUAAAAACAGGAGUUCAUGUCGUUUCGAUAGUCAGAAAACAGCGAUGGCUCUCUUUGAGCUCCUCCUCCUUUUCUGUUUAUCUCCAGUUUGGGCCACAAUGUCAUGUCACCUGUGUGAGAACAUCUCCCUUAAGCUCCAGUCGCAAUGGAAGGAAAGUGUAGACAUGGAAACACUGCUGCAGGAAGUCUGCAACUCGCUGCCUCAUGAGUCCAAUUUGGUGUGCAGGAACUUUAUCA